AUUGAACGCUGGCGGCAGGCCUAACACAUGCAAGUCGAGCGGAUGAAGGGAGCUUGCUCCUGGAUUCAGCGGCGGACGGGUGAGUAAUGCCUAGGAAUCUGCUGGUUAUUGGGGGUUAACGCCGGAAACCGGCCGCUAAUACCCCAUCCUUCCUGAGGGAGAAGGUGGGGGAUCUUCGGACUUCCCCCUUUCAAAUGGGCCUAGGUCGGAUGAGCUAGUUGGUGGGGUAAAGGCCUACCAAGGCGACGAUCCGUAACUGGUCUGAGAGGAUGAUCAGUCACACUGGAACUGAGACACGGUCCAGACUCCUACGGGAGGCAGCAGUGGGGAAUAUUGGACAAUGGGCGAAAGCCUGAUCCAGCCAUGCCGCGUGUGUGAAGAAGGUCUUCGGAUUGUAAAGCACUUUAAGUUGGGAGGAAGGGCAGUAAGUUAAUACCUUGCUGUUUUGACGUUACCAACAGAAUAAGCACCGGCUAACUUCGUG
rnacentral:rRNA from 1 species